rnacentral:sRNA from 1 species
GUUAAAUUAGUAGCUAAGAUAGGAGAAGAGGAUGAAAGCAAAUGAAAGAAAAAGUCUUAAGUCAUUGGGACGAAGAGGCAUUCUUUAAAUUAGAAUGGACUAAAAAGCUGGUUACGAAAACCGAAAGAGAUUAUGGACUAAAGGUUUGGAACUUUCGCGGUUAAAAAAAGAGGCUAAAGUUAUGGGUGAGGAGAAAGUGGGAGAAAUUAUGUAAAUCAUUUUA